rnacentral:rRNA from 1 species
CUGCUGCCUCCCGUAGGAGUUUGGGCCGUGUCUCAGUCCCAAUGUGGCCGUUCACCCUCUCAGGCCGGCUACUGAUCGUCGCUUUGGUGGGCCGUUACCCCGCCAACUGGCUAAUCAGACGCGGAUCCAUCGUAUACCACCGGAGUUUUUCACACUGUUCCAUGCGGAACCGUGCGCUUAUGCGGUGUUAGCACCUAUUUCUAAGUGUUAUCCCCCUGUAUACGGCAGGUUAUCCACGCGUUACUCACCCGUCCGCCACUAA